CGGUGUGCUCGAGCCUUCAUGCAGAUAUCCGAAUGGCGUCUCUUGCGCUACCCUUCAAACGUCCAUCAAUCCAUUAUAGCAAACCACACGUAUCACACGGAAGAUGAGUAACGGCAUUGCCCUUGCAUAUUUCACCUGAGGAGUCAGCCUCACUUCAAUUCCCUUUGUUGUAGUUAAAUAUCAAACAUCAAACUUGGUUCAACAAACUCCACUCGAUGCUCCGCAGGUGGGCAGGAAACAAGGGGACAAAAACUCAAAGAGUAGCAUUUGGUGUUUGACUGGAGAAGUCUUUUCUGCCACUCCCCCUGAUUAUGGUGCGGAUCAUUGACUCCCAGAAGGUUCAACGCAACAGGCCAAUGCUCUUUAGCAGAGG
rnacentral:sRNA from 1 species